ACGGAAGGCAGCAGUGAGGAAUAUUGGUCAAUGGGCGGAAGCCUGAACCAGCCAAGUCGCGUGAAGGAUGAAGGUAUUAUGUAUUGUAAACUUCUUUAGCAGCAGAGUAAUAAAGGGGUCGUGACCCCCGAUGCAAGUAUGCUGAAAAUAAGGAUCGGCUAACUCCGUGCCAGCGGCCGCGGUAAUACGGAGGAUCCGAGCGUUAUCCGGAUUUAUUGGGUUUAAAGGGUGCGCAGGCGGUUUUUUAAGUAAGUGGUUAAAUCGUGAGGCUCAACCUCAUCACGCCAUUGAUACUGGAAGACUUGAUUGCGGUUGAGGUUGGCGGAAUUCGUCGUGUAGCGGUGAAAUGCAUAGAUAUGACGAAGAACACCGAUUGCGUAGGCAGCUGACCAAGCCGUAAAUGACGCUCAUGCACGAAAGUGCGGGGAUCGAACAGGAUUAGAUACCCUGGUA
rnacentral:rRNA from 1 species